rnacentral:rRNA from 1 species
AUUGAACGCUGGCGGCAGGCCUAACACAUGCAAGUCGAGCGGAGCGGCGGACGGGUGCGUAAUGCCUAGGAAUCUGCCUGGUAGUGGGGGAGAACGUCCGGAAACGGGCGCUAUUACCGCAUCCUAUCAGAUGAGCCUAGGUCGGAUUAGCUAGUGGGUGGGGUAAAGGCCUACCAAGGCGACGAUCCGUAACUGGUCUGAGAGGGUGAUCAGUCACACUGGAACUGAGACACGGUCCAGACUCCUACGGGAGGCAGCAGUGGGGAAUAUUGGACAAUGGGCGAAAGCCUGAUCCAGCCAUGCCGCGUGUGUGAAGAAGGUCUUCGGAUUGUAAAGCACUUUAAGUUGGGAGGCGUUACCCGCAGAAGAAGCACCGGCUAACUCCGUGCCAGCCGCCGCGGUAAUAC